CCUACGGGUGGCAGCAGUGAGGAAUAUUGGUCAAUGGACGAAAGUCUGAACCAGCCAUGCCGCGUCCAGGAAGAAGGUUCUAUGUAUUGUAAACUGCUUUUGUACGAGGGUAAACACUGCUACGCGUAUCUGUCUGAAAGUAUCGUACGAAUAAGCAUCGGCUAACUCCGUGCCAGCAGCCGCGGUAAUACGGAGGAUUCAAGCGUUAUCCGGAUUUAUUGGGUUGAAAGGGUGCGUAGGCGGUCGGAUAAGUUAGAGGUGAAAUCCCGUGGAUCAACUCCGGUAUUGCCUGUGAUACGGUUAGGCUAGAGAGUAGUAGAGGUAGGCGGAAUGGAUGGUGUAGCGGUGAAAUGCAGAGAGAUC
rnacentral:rRNA from 1 species